rnacentral:tRNA from 1 species
UCCUUGGUGGUUCAAUGAUUGGGACUCUGCACUCCCACUGCAGGGGCUCAGGUUCAAUCCCUGGUGGGGGAA